rnacentral:rRNA from 1 species
UAAUACGUAGGCAGCGAGCGUUGUUCGGAGUUACUGGGCGUAAAGCGUGCGUAGGCGGUGAUCCAAGUCUGGUGUGAAAUCUCCCGGCUCAACCGGGAGGGUGCGCCGGAAACUGGAUUGCUAGAGUGCGGGAGAGGCAAGCGGAAUUCCCGGUGUAGCGGUGAAAUGCGUAGAGAUCGGGAGGAACACCUGCGGUGUAGACGGCUUGCUGGACCGCCACUGACGCUGAGGCACGAAAGCGUGGGGAGCAAACAGGAUUAGAUACCCUGGUAGUCCACGCCCUAAACGAUGCAUACUUGGUGUGGGCAGUUCAGUCUGUCCGUGCCGGAGCUAACGCGUUAAGUAUGCCGCCUGGGGAGUACGGUCGCAAGGCUG